CACGCACGCUGGCGGCAUGCCUAACACAUGCAAGUCGAACGUGACCUUCGGGUCUAGUGGCGCACGGGUGCGUAACGCGUGGGAACCUGCCCUUAGGUUCGGAAUAACUCCCCGAAAGGGGUGCUAAUACCGGAUAAUGUCUUCGGACCAAAGAUUUAUCGCCUUUGGAUGGGCCCGCGUUGGAUUAGCUAGUUGGUAGGGUAAAAGCCUACCAAGGCGACGAUCCAUAGCUGGUCUGAGAGGAUGAUCAGCCACACUGGGACUGAGACACGGCCCAGACUCCUACGGGAGGCAGCAGUGGGGAAUAUUGGACAAUGGGCGAAAGCCUGAUCCAGCAAUGCCGCGUGAGUGAUGAAGGCCUUAGGGUUGUAAAGCUCUUUUACCCGGGAUGAUAAUGACAGUACCGGGAGAAUAAGCUCCGGCUAACUCCGUG
rnacentral:rRNA from 1 species